GACGAACGCUGGCGGCGUGCUUAACACAUGCAAGUCGAACGGUAAGGCUCCAGCUUGCUGGGGUACACGAGUGGCGAACGGGUGAGUAACACGUGGGUGACCUGCCCUGCACUUCGGGAUAAGCCUGGGAAACUGGGUCUAAUACCGGAUAGGACCGCACCGUGAGGGUGUGGUGGAAAGUUUUUUCGGUGUGGGAUGGGCCCGCGGCCUAUCAGCUUGUUGGUGGGGUAAUGGCCUACCAAGGCGGCGACGGGUAGCCGGCCUGAGAGGGUGGACGGCCACAUUGGGACUGAGACACGGCCCAGACUCCUACGGGAGGCAGCAGUGGGGAAUAUUGCACAAUGGGCGGAAGCCUGAUGCAGCGACGCCGCGUGGGGGAUGACGGCCUUCGGGUUGUAAACUCCUUUCACCAUCGACGAAGGGUUUCUGACGGUAGAUGGAGAAGAAGCACCGGCUAACUACGUGCCAGCAGCCGCGGUAAUACGUAGGGUGCGAGCGUUGUCCGGAAUUACUGGGCGUAAAGAGCUCGUAGGUGGUUUGUCGCGUCGUCUGUGAAAUUCCGGGGCUUAACUCCGGGCGUGCAGGCGAUACGGGCAUAACUUGAGUACUGUAGGGGAGACUGGAAUUCCUGGUGUAGCGGUGAAAUGCGCAGAUAUCAGGAGGAACACCGGUGGCGAAGGCGGGGUCUCUGGGCAGUAACUGACGCUGAGGAGCGAAAGCAUGGGGAGCGAACAGG
rnacentral:rRNA from 1 species